UACGGAGGGUGCGAGCGUUGUCCGGAAUCACUGGGCGUAAAGGGCGCGUAGGCGGUGCUGUAAGUCUGUAGUGAAAUCUCUGGGCUCAACUCAGAGUCUGCUAUAGAAACUGCAGUGCUAGAGUGUGGGAGAGGUGAGUGGAAUUCCCGGUGUGGCGGUGAAAUGCGUAGAUAUCGGGAGGAACACCUGUGGCGAAAGCGGCUCACUGGACCACAACUGACGCUGAGGCGCGAAAGCUAGGGGAGCAAACAGG
rnacentral:rRNA from 1 species